rnacentral:rRNA from 1 species
GACGAACGCUGGCGGCGUGCUUAACACAUGCAAGUCGAACGGUAAGGCCCUUCGGGGUACACGAGUGGCGAACGGGUGAGUAACACGUGGGUGAUCUGCCCUGCACUUCGGGAUAAGCCUGGGAAACUGGGUCUAAUACCGGAUAGGACCACUGCCUGCAUGGGUGGUGGUGGAAAGCUUUUGCGGUGUGGGAUGGGCCCGGGGCCUAUCAGCUUGUUGGUGGGGUGAUGGCCUACCAAGGCGACGACGGGUAGCCGGCCUGAGAGGGGGACCGGCCACACUGGGACUGAGAUACGGCCCAGACUCCUACGGGAGGCAGCAGUGGGGAAUAUUGCACAAUGGGCGCAAGCCUGAUGCAGCGACGCCGCGUGAGGGAUGACGGCCUUCGGGUUGUAAACCUCUUUCAGCACCGACGAAGCGCAAGUGACGGUAGGUGCAGAAGAAGGACCGGCCAACUACGUGCCAGCCGCCGCCGUAAAAC